CGGCAGAGGAAUCCUACUCCGUUGGGCCCCUGAGCAAGGCCCUUCACCCCAACUGCUCCAGGGGCGCCGUAUAAAUGGCCGACCCUGCGCUCUGACCCCCAGCUUCUCUCCCUGCCUGUGUGUCUCAUGGAGAGCAAGCUGGGGUCUGCGAAAAGACACAUGCAAGAAAUUGAACUUGUAAACUUGUGUAUGGCCGAGCAAGUGAUCUUAAUCUUAAUGCGCCAUGCUGGUCUAAAGAACGAACGGUCCUCUUGCUUCUCUCGCUUUCCCCACAGCCUGGAAAGGAACCCGCCAAAGUCUUCUCCGGAGGCCGAGCCGGGGGAGGAGUCUGAGGACAGCGGGAGCGCGGUCCGGCCCUGUGUGGCGCAGAAGGACCUGUACCAGGAAAUUGUCGCCAGCACUAGAAAGGCGAACACCGCGGUGAAGGGGGCACUGCGCCACCGGGCCACCCUCCGACACGCGGGGCCCCGCUUGUCCCCCCCGGCCCCGGCGCACCCCGAGAAGCCCCCGGCUGGCGAGGAGGGGCGGCCCUACCGCUGGAGGAAGUUCAGCGAAGGCGUGGGCCCCACGUUCUGCUAGGGGCCCCAGGAAAGCGGCACCAUCCCACCCCCACCCCCGCAGACUUGCCAAUAAAAGACCACUUUGCUUCGCGGCCCCAGGUGGUUAUUUUUGAACCCAAGAUGCCACAAGGCAAUGAGCUGCUCGCCGUGGUUCACCAUCGUGAUUGCAUGGGAUCAAGGACUCCCAGAUGGCCUGUUGCGUUAGUGCUGGAUUUACAGCCGGUGUUUUCUCAGCGCUGAAAACACAGACAAGUGCUGCCUUUUCCUUGGUUGUGUGUUCACUGCAUGCUCCCCGGGAACUGCUCUGUAUUAAUAAUUGCUUACACUUAUAUAGCGCUUUUCUGGACACUCCACUCAAAGCGCUUUACAGGUCAUGGGGGAUCCCACUACCACCACCAGUGUGCAGCCCCACCUGGAUGAUGCGCCAGUCCGCUCCCCACACACCAACUCUCAGGGGGGAGGAGAGCAGAGUGAUGAAGCCAGUUUUGAGUGGGGUGUCCAGAAAAGCGCUAUAUAAGUGUAAGCAACUAUUAGUAUUUCUUAUAUGAAUAGGUGGGCUUGUAAACAAUUGUGUCUUAGAGCAAAAUAAAGGUGAUGUUUAA
rnacentral:lncRNA from 1 species